ensembl:miRNA MIR221 microRNA 221
AUCCAGGUCUGUGGCAUGAACCUGGCAUACAAUGUAGAUUUCUGUGUUUAUUUGGCAACAGCUACAUUGUCUGCUGGGUUUCAGGCUACCUGGAA